rnacentral:sRNA from 1 species
AUGUUGCGCGUGUCGUGCGGGUGAGAACCUGCGUUCAGGUUCGAGCCGAGCGAAGCGAGACAGCAACGCGUCAGCGUUGACCCCGAAGGGGCGAGGCCAAAGGCCGAGUCAUCCUGCACGACCCACCA